UACAGAGGGUGCAAACGUUGCUCGGAGUUACUGGGCGUAAAGCGUGCGCAGGCGGUGAUGUAAGACAGAUGUGAAAUCCCCGGGCUCAACCUGGGAACUGCAUUUGUGACUGCAUCGCUGGAGUGCGGCAGAGGGGGAUGGAAUUCCGCGUGUAGCAGUGAAAUGCGUAGAUAUGCGGAGGAACACCGAUGGCGAAGGCAAUCCCCUGGGCCUGCACUGACGCUCAUGCACGAAAGCGUGGGGAGCAAACAGG
rnacentral:rRNA from 1 species